CUCUUAUCAUACUAGGAUUGUUAUAACGAGGGAAUUGAACAUCAUAAAUAGUCAUUCAAGCAAGGAAAUGAAAGGUUGAUAGCUUCUUCUUUUUCUAUAUUCCCCCACUAGAAUCGUGCUUGAAGGUAUUCAACCACCUUCUUGUCCAACUGGAAGGCCCUUGCAAGGAAAUCAGGAUUGAUGGGUGGAUUUGAUCCAAACACUGCAUUGGCUAUGGUGAUUACACCUGGAUUUUGGCUGUUCAGACCAGCAAUGGCUACUGCAUUAGUGUGCCCAAUGUUGAAUUGGAAGUGAAUGAGACCGAUAGGGAACACAAAAACAUCCCCUUUGUUGAGGACUUUGCUAAUGAAUCGGUUUUGAGGGUUGGAUGUGACAAAGCCAACUAAGAGUGUUCCCUCCAAAACAGUGAGGAUCUCACUGGCACGGGGGUGAAUGUGAGGAGGGUUUUGACCAUAGGGUGCAUAAUUGAUACGAACCAGUGAUAUCCCAAGAGUGUUUUGUCCCGGUAGUACAUCAACAUUUAUAAUAGUGACAUUUGAGCCCACUAGAUUUGCUGUGUUUCCUGGAAUAUUCAGCCCUUGAUACAAGAAAUCGUCAGCCACGGUCAGGUUUGGGUUCUUGCAGAACUUUCCAUUUACAAAUACUGCAUUUAAAAAAACAAAAGGAAAAUAAAAGAUAGGUCAUUAGUAUCAAACCACCAUCAAUGGAAAGAUUAGUGAAAAUAGUGACAAGAUCAUUGGUUACUAAAGAAAUACCAGCAUUCUCGGGUUCAUCAAUGGCAACACAAGUGUCCUGCAGUGGCCUUGGAUCAAAGGCAGAGGCAAGAGAGGAAGCCAAUGCCAUGAGGGCAACAGUUACCAGGAAACUAACACCUUUCUUCAUUGUUAGAGAACUGUCUCCAACAAUCACAAUCUUUAUCUUUAGGUGGGGGUGAGAAAUUUUGCAUGGGAAAGAUGUUAAUUUAUAGACCAGUCAAUGAGUAAAGUCUUUGCAUAAACUCACAAAGUCUUCAAUGGGUAGUUUUUUCUUUUCUUUUUUUUCUUUCUUUUUUCUUUUUUUCACUUUCAACGUCAAGUGGUUACACCAAUACAUGUUGAUUUAUGUAGGAUUAGUUAGUUACUAUACUGAUCUUAACUAGAAAAUUCUCCAUGCGUGUGGAAAGUGAAGUUCAAUUAUUGAUGGAGGCAGGUCCAAUUUCAUAUCAACCUGCAUGAUCCAUACAUUUACAUAAAUAGUAGAUUGAAUAUUACUACCAUUCAAACACUGAAAAAUAUGUAUAGUGUAUUGACAAGAAAAUAGAAGAUUACAGAGUAAGUGCAGGCUUGGACUAGACAAUAACCCACCCAUUCCAAACAUGGUUACUCUAUGAGGCUUGUGUAGGUUCAGUUUAAUGAGUAUCUAUAUAGCUUAAUUAACCAGUCAAAGUUUUCAGAGAUUGGCUGAUGAGAUUGAAUAUGUAGCCAAGUUCUGAGUUUCUAGCUCAUGUGCCUUCCACUGAGUGAAAAAUCCUUGGAUAAGCUCUAGGGUUGCUUCACUUUAGUGAAAAAUAGGGAUAAAUUCAAAGAUUUUCUGCUAUGCUCAUUAGGCUUUCCUCAGUUACAAAAGCUUUGGCCAUGAUUUUUAUGCUUGCAGCCUGCCCUGUCUGAGCAGUUGGCUCAAAAGUUAUUAUUAUUAUUAUUAUUUUGGUUUGAGAGAGAAAGAGAUCUUAAUAAACACCUUUAAACUAAGACUUUUUAAUUAGUUGUUUAUAAGUUGUCUUUAACAAUCACGUCGGUGUUUCCUGGUGAGAAGCAAGAAACCUUGAUUUGAAAAAUACCAAUAAAUUAGAUGAAGUCCUCAGGUUAACCUAUGUUUUAUAGGUGAGGUAAGCAGUUACACUUUCCAAGUCUUCAAUGGAUGUCAUUUUUCAAAUUUAAAGGUUGAACCAUUCUUCGAUCACACUCCUUUCUCAUCCUUUUCUCCUCAACUUAUGCUCUAGACUCUUGAAUGGAUUCUACAUAAUCUUCGGGUUUUAGGCCUUAUUCCAGUGUAAAGCUAAGAAGUAAACCAGUGGGCAGGCCAUCUAUAAUCAGUUUGUGAUUAGUGUCAUGACCUAGAUCUUUAUAAGAAGUUGGGGUCAGAGGUUUGUUUACAGUGGAUGUCAUAAGAUUUAUGGGCUUUCAUUUCUAUUCUUUCCUCACUAUUUCAUAACACUUAUGCUUCUCCCACCAUUCAUAUGGUUUUACUUGGACAUCUUAAUGAGUUUUUUCGAUCUCAGUUGAUGGGAGUUAUAAUGGGAUAAUUUAGAGAAGCAAAUUAAUGGCAUCUUUCCAUUUCUGAAUUGUAUGGGGUUGUUGCCUCAAUGUUCAUGUCUUCAUCACCAAUUCUGUCAGCAGUAUGCUAGAAGUAACAGUAGUUCUGUUUUAUGCAUAUCCUGUAUUUAAUCAAUCAAUCAACUGAGAUUUGUUAUUCAGUUGCUUCUUUUACAAGUGAAAUCUCAAAGAUUUGUUUAAGAUUUUUUAAUGAAAACAUAGGGUAAUCCUGGAUAUGGCAUUGGAUAGUGAGAGAAGAAGAUGGCUAAUAGACAAACUGCUUUAUUUUAAUAUUAGGACCAAAGUCCACAUCAAACAACCUACAACAUAAAGAAAUAAACCCUCUUAUUCUAGGAUGACUAUAAUGAGGUAAUUGAACACCACAAAUAGUCAUUUAAGCAAGGAAAGCAAAGGCUGGUAGCUUCUUAAUUUUCUAUAUUUUCCAACUAGAAUAGUGCUUGAAGGUAUUCAACCACCUUCUUGUCCAACUGGAAGGCCCUGGCAAGGAAAUCAGGAUUGAUGGGUGGAUUUGAUCCAAACACUGCAUCGGCUAUGGUGAUUACACCUGGAUUUUGGCUGUUCAGACCAGCAAUG
rnacentral:lncRNA from 1 species